AUUUCUGACACCAUCACGUCGUGCUGCUACACGUGCUGCAUGCAGCGUCCAAAACUUUCACAAGCGUCAACUUGCACUUUGGACAUGCAAGCUAAAAUGUUUGCACGAGCGUCGCCAGUUAACGUCUUCUAUCACCAAUUGCAUCAAACACCAUUCUGCCGCAGGUGCGAAAUCUUCCAAAUGAGCCUCGCAUGACCGACUUUCUGUGCGAUCAAACUGGAUUCACAACUCUUUCAAUGGACUGCAUCUAAUGGUCUCAUUUCUGUCCACAGGUGUGCAGCUGCAACAGAAGAACCACGUUUACAGCAAAAAGGCAAAAAUCCCAUUUAUAAUUGCAGGACAUCAAUUAUUAAACUGACUAAAUAAUUGCCUUUUUUUUUUUUGUCUGCAGGUUUCAAAAUGGCCGACUUGCUGUCCUUUAAAGCCUGGCUUCAUGAGACGUUUGCAGGUCUACUCUUGCAAGUCGACCAAAUGCCACGUUCCUAAUCCAAACUAACUGGUAAAGCUCAAAGCUUACAAGAUUGGUUACAAGGUUACCGUGUCUUUCAGGCUAGCAAGCUGCGGUUGGAGAGAAGUCCAAUGGUGCCCUGCGCUCUUCACUGGUGAAACACAUGCACACCUACAUGUACAAAUGUUUGAAAAAAAUUAUUUCAGCAUGUGCAUUUUCUUCCUGUUUUGUCCACCAGGUGGUGCCGAAGGACAAGCUCCCUGCAGCAUGGAGCGACUGGUGAAGUAAAAGCUCCACAUUUGAACCUGUUGCAAUGACAAACUCUACUAAUCAAAGUCCUUGACCCGUUGUUUCAGGUGGUGCAGGUGAUCAGGAAACGAGGAGUCAUGAUCAACUUCCUGUCCAACAUUUUGACAGGUGACCAAACUCACCAAACUUUGCAUUAAAAACACCAACCUGCUUUUUUCUUUCUUAGUGUAGUCCAGUUUCCAGUAAGAGUUCCGUCGGACGCAGCACCUGCUGGGCGAAGAAAUUCUCCAAAACCAUGCUGAAGGCGUGGCAGUCCAGGAGAGUCUUUGCAACGUUUCAGGCACUCAGUCUGCUGUUACUCGUCUGGGAUUCAAGUGCACAAACGAGGAAAGUUCCAGUCUACAGUUACAAAUAAAAACAGUCAACUUAAAUUGUUGUCAAUGUUUCUUCUUUACAGGCAGAGGUGACAAAGUACCUGUAGCUCAAGCCAAACUGUGGCAGGCUGAAGACGAGCCCUCUGCUGUGUGGUGCACCACAGAGUACCUGCUCACAGCAGAAGCCAGAGCAAA